AAAGAAAAUAGUUCAGCACUAAGUCACUUUGUCUUAAUGGCAAAUGUGAGAUGCAGUGUAUGGAAUGUCAAAUUUCUAGUAUGAGAAAUUAACGAUUUAAGUCCUUCUUAAAUGAGGCCAUUUACCCAAAGAGGGUGCCAGGCCCGUAUAACGUUAAUGAUUACUAGAUGGCAUUUCCAAAGAGUCGUGUUGCUUGAUAGUGCAGCACUAAGUGGGUGGUAAACUCCAUCUAAAACUAAAUAUAACCAUGAGACCGAUAGUAAACAAGUACCGUGAGGGAAAGUUGAAAAGAACUCUGAAUAGAGAGUUAAAUAGUACGUGAAACUGCUUAGAGGUUAAGCCCGAUGAACCUGAAUAUCCGUUAUAGAAAAUUCAUCAUUAUGAUUUUAAUAUUUAUAAUAUUAUAAUAAUGGUGUGCAUUUUUUCUAUAAAAGGACAUUGUAAUCUAUUAACAUAAAUAUAUUUAUCAUAAGAUCAAGAGCGUAAGUUUAUUCAAAUUAUUUUGCUUGCAAUUUAACAUAGAAUAAAUGCUUUUGAUUUGAUAAAGUGUUGAUAGAUUUAUUAUAUAUAGUGCUUAAAUAUUUAUAUUUUAUAAUAGCAUAUUAAUCAUUGAUUUUUAUGUUUAUUAUAUGCACUUAUAUGAUUAACAA
rnacentral:rRNA from 1 species